rnacentral:tRNA from 1 species
UUUUUAUAAGUAUAAUAAAGUACGGCUGAUUUCCAAUCAGAUAGACCGCUUAAAAUUGGCGGAUAAGGAA